rnacentral:rRNA from 1 species
AUUACCCAAUCCUGACACAGGGAGGUAGUGACAAUAAAUAACAAUACCGGGCGUUUUUACGUCUGGUAAUUGGAAUGAGAACAAUCUAAAUCCCUUAUCGAGGAUCAAUUGGAGGGCAAGUCUGGUGCCAGCAGCCGCGGUAAUUCCAGCUCCAAUAGCGUAUAUUUAAGUUGUUGCGGUUAAAAAGCUCGUAGUUGGAUUUCGGGCGUGGAGGUUCGGUCCGCCGUUUCGGUGUGCACUGUCUUUCUGCGUCUUUCUGUCGGGGACGCGCUUCUGGCCUUAAUUGGCUGGGACGUGGAUUCGACGAGGUUACUUUGAAAAAAUUAGAGUGUUCAAAGCAAGCUAAAGCUCUGAAUACAUUAGCAUGGAAUAACGCGAGAGGACUCGGUCCUUAUUUUGUUGGUCUUCAAGGAUGGAGUAAUGAUUAAGAGGGACAGUUGGGGGCAUUCGUAUUUCAUUGCUAGAGGUGAAAUUCUUGGAUUUAUGAAAGACGAACUUCUGCGAAAGCAUUUGCCAAGGAUGUUUUCAUUGAUCAAGAACGAAAGUUGGGGGCUCGAAGAUGAUCAGAUACCAUCCUAGUCUCAACCAUAAACGAUGCCGACUAGGGAUUGGCAGGUGUUACAUCGAUGACUCUGCCAGCACCUUAUGAGAAAUCAAAGUUUUUGGGUUCCGGGGGGAGUAUGGUCGCAAGGCUGAAACUUAAAGGAAUUGACGGAAGGGCACCACCAGGAGUGGAGCCCGCGGCUUAAUUUGACUCAACACGGGGAAACUUACCAGGUCCAGACAUAGUAAGGAUUGA